UUCCACAGCUACUGGUCCACAGCUGUUCUGGUGAUGGCAGUUGUGGCAUUCCUCUGUGGGAAAGGAAUUGUUACACGGUUAAACGUCCCUUUCUUAGCAAAACGGAAAGUGGGCAUGCGUGUGACAAACACAA